CGCCCCUCCCCCUCAACUGGAAAUGGGGGUCCGGCUUGGAGUCCAGGAGAGGGCAAAGAUUUGGAUCACAGGAUUCAGGGAAAGAAAGUGGUUUGGCUGGAGCAAAGGAUCCUGGGAUCUGCUGGAUCUGGCCUGAGGUGCUGUGCGUCAGCAGGAAGGGCCUCUACUCCCUCCCAUCAAGGACUGCACUGGAUCUGCCUCAGGCCCAGAAGGCAGAGUUUCCAAAAUACCCACAGAUGAGGACACUGGUCUCCAAAGAUGAAGCAGUUCAGCUCAUCCUGCAGGGAGCUGGCAAUCCAGGAAGAACGCCCAGGCCUUCCUAAUGCCCAGACAGAGCUCCAACCACCAGCCCUGAGGUAACGGUGCCCUCCUGGGCCAGCCAGACUAACCCCACCCUCACAGCUGCUAGGGUACCAGGGGUGGCUGAAGAUACCACAGGACCACCCAGUCACCUGCCCUGAGGCGGGCAGGAGCGGCCUCCAGAAUCCAGAAGAGGCUCACCAGCCCGCAGCCUGAAGGAUGCAGUCUCCUGAGAAGGAAGGAAAUUCCAGCUAGAUGGGGCCCUUUAAAGAGUAUACCUGGGGCUCACUCUGAGUCGCUGGUUCUGCCCUCCCCCCCUCUCUUGCACAGGUCACCCUGCACAGCACUGGGGAGGAAGGGGAGAGGAAGGCGGUGGGAAGACCAGCAGGGCUCUUGGCUCCAGGCCAGGCUGUCCUGGGUCCCCUGGCCAAGAGAAAUUAGCCAGGGAGGAAAACUCUUGCCAAGCUGCCGCAGCUGGGCAGCAGUGGUCUAACUAGUGGAGUCUCAAGGGGCUUCUUCAGAAGCUGAAGGGCUAAAAAUAGCCCAGGCCUUUGUUGUCAGCAGUGGGCCACCGAGAUGGAGCUGAUUUCAGCAAAGCAGAGCACGCGUCAGGGGCCUGCUCACCAAGACCUGCCCUUUGGGCCAAUGAUUUUUCCAGAAAUGUGUCAAGUGAUUAUGCUGCUGCCUGGGCCACUCUUGCUGAGAUGCAAAGAAGGGCGAUCACUCCAGCCCGGGAGGCUUGACUUCCAGCACAGACUUCUGGGAACCGGGGCCUCCUCCACCUCUUCUCAAAAAGAAAUAAAUAAAAUAAAAUAAAUGUUUUGGAGCCUCA